CCAUCCGCAGGUCCACCGCCGUGGCAGCAGCUACACCAUCCUCCCAUCUACCGUUGCGGCUGCCUCCCCUCCCUGCGGAAGGCCGUCCUUCCGCCUGCAUCUUCCUCACCACUUGCGUAGUGCCGGUCUCUGCCUCGCCACCCACCGGAGCACCAGCAUCUGCCCCCCACCAAGCUCCCGUACUUGUCCCCCCAUUCAGAUUUACACGUCUUCACCUCCGGCUGCCUGUACUCCUCUACUCGCUGCCUCACAAGUCCCCAUUCUCCAUAUCUCUGAAACAUCAGCGAACAGCUAGGGGAGUUGGCUGGCCACCCUUUUCGACGCCGUAAUUUCCCAGCUUGAACAAGUAUAUUGCGGGUUUUAAAAGAGGAGUUAGCUUCCAGCAAAGGAAGAUUUUUGGGCUUAAAAGUCAUGAUUACCAUAUCUUCAUGGAACGGCUGCUACCAGUUGCAUUUCGUGGCUUCAUUCCGGAGAAUAUAUGGUUAUGUUUGGCCGAGCUAAGCUUUUUCUA